rnacentral:sRNA from 1 species
GCUGGGCAUGGAGGUGCACACCUGUAAUCCCAGCUACUCAGGAAGCUGAGUCAAGAGGAUUGCAAGUUCAAUGCCAGCCUGAGCAGCUUAUCAAGAUCCUGUCUCAA